rnacentral:SRP_RNA from 1 species
GCUGGGUGUGGUGGGGGGCGCCUGUAAUCCCAGCUACUCAGGAGGCUGAGGCAGGAGAAUCGCUUGAACCCAGGAGGCGGAGGUUGCAGUGAGCCGAGAUCGCACCACUGCACUCCAGCCUGGGCGACAGAGCGAGACUCUGCCUCAA